AGGUCAUGGUUAAUGGCGGAUUUUAGAUGUAAAGACACUUCAGAGAAACGAAAAAGCAACAGAUGAACAGACACCAGGCCAAUUAUUGAGUUUUCAAGAAAAGAGACCAAGAACUUCAGACCAUGGUUUAGAAUUAUGAAAUAGGACAACACAUUAUAGGGAGGAGCCAGAUGUGACAAGGUAGAAACAAGGGGGAGAUAACACCCUUACAGGACAGGAACAACACAGGGAGACUGUGCACAGCUACCGGUAUAAGCUUGGAGACAGUAUGGGGGUACCAUUCAUCCAGGUACUGAGCUGUGAUCAUGUCUUCAUAUGAUGAGCUGCUGAAACAAGUCGAGAGUUUAAAAGUUGAAAACUCCACACUUCGCCAGGAGCUUAACGACAAUUCUUCCCACCUUAGCCAACUGGAGGAUGAGGCGGGUAACUUGAAAGAUGUUCUUACACAGGUGAAGAGGCCGAUGGAUGAGGAGGAAAUAGCUUGUGAUGGAUUUGAUGAGGAGGGGAUUCACAUCUUUGCCCAGGGAGGGGGAGGAGAGAGCCGGGACAUGGACCCGAACGGUAAGUCAUUGUCCUACUUCAAAACACUAACCACACUUCUUUAAUUUGUUAGUCGACUGUCAAACAUGAGUCGUCAAUAUUUUCAAGAUUACUACCAAUCAUACUUUCAUUUUCAGCUAUUUUUGUUUUUGAAGGAAUAAAAACAGAACAUUAUCUGACGCAUGAUGAAUAAUUUCACACAUAUCCUUGGUUUUCUAGCUAUAUAACAAAAUUCUAUACAAUAGCAGACAUCAAGGA